rnacentral:rRNA from 1 species
AGUGAACGCUGGCGGCAGGCCUAACACAUGCAAGUCGAACGGCAGCACAGUAAGAGCUUGCUCUUACGGGUGGCGAGUGGCGGACGGGUGAGGAAUACAUCGGAAUCUACUUUUUCGUGGGGGAGAAAGUAGGGAAACUUACGCUAAUACCGCAUACGACCUACGGGUGAAAGCAGGGGAUCUUCGGACCUUGCGCGAUUGAAUGAGCCGAUGUCGGAUUAGCUAGGUGGCGGGGUAAAGGCCCACCAAGGCGACGAUGCGUAGCUGGUCUGAGAGGAUGAUCAGCCACACUGGAACUGAGACACGGUCCAGACUCCUACGGGAGGCAGCAGUGCGGAAUAUUGGACAAUGGGCGAAAGCCUGAUCCAGCCAUACCGCGUGGGUGAAGAAGGCCUUCGGGUUGUAAAGCCCUUUUGUUGGGAAAGAAAAGAAGCACGUUAAUCCCCGGCUGUUCUGACGGUACCCAAAGAAUAAGCACCGGCUAACUUCGUG